GAAACCUGAUGGACAUGUGUCAACAGCUGAGCGAAUGGGACGGAUGGGAAUCUAAUUCGAGUUUCAAACUUCAAAUGCGAUUUUCUCUUAAACGCCGUUUUGAAAUCCGUUUGAACCACCAUGUUGUUUGGAAUUAAUGCAAUAAAAUAAGAUCCAAUAUGAGUAUAUUUUUGUUUUGCUAAUAUAUUUUUAAAAUUCAACAUUGGGAUUGUACUAUUUCAACAUUUUGAGCAAUUACUUCAACAUUUUAUACAUGCUGCUUCAACAUUUUCACGCCAAAUGUUGAUCUAGUUUAUCCAAAUUGUUGAACUAAAUUUGACAAAAUGUUGAACAUAGUACAUUAGAAUGUUGACUAUAUUAGUUCGACAGUUUAAACGAUGUUAAAAUGGUAGAAUAGUAUAAUCAGUAUGUUGAAUAGUUUUUUCAAUCUAAAAUGUUGAUUAAACUCUUUAGGAUGUAAUUGACAUCAUCAUACAUCUUUUAGGUAAUUAGCCAAUAGCUAGUAUAAUUAGAAGAAUGAAGAAAGGAAAAAAAAAUUAACAAAAGCCUACCCACUAUGACUGAUUCUC
rnacentral:lncRNA from 1 species